GACGUCGAUAUUCGACGUCAUAAACACGAUCAACUUUGGUGUUUAUGACGUCGAUAUUCGACGUCAUCAACACGAUCAACUUUGGUGUUUUUGACGUCGAUAUUCGACGUCAUAAACACGAUCAACUUAGAUGUUUAUGACGUCGAUAUUCGACGUCAUAAACACGAUCAAUUUUGGUGUUUAUGAGUUCGAUAUUCGACGUCAUCAACACGAUCAACUUUGGUGUUUAUGACUUCGAUAUUCGACGUU
rnacentral:miRNA from 1 species